CCUAUGCUUCCGCAAGAGGUCCCCUUGUCGGGGCCCAAGCACCAGUUCGUACAAGAGGUUUCGGCCUCCGAUCGAGCUGGCGCCCGGCGGUUCCGUCUCUAUGAGGCGAGCUGUCAGGGCCCCGACAGGCUCAGGCCUAUCGGAAGGGGUGUCCCAUCACCUCGAUCCCGUCCCCUCGAGGAACGACUCGAUGA
rnacentral:ncRNA from 1 species